rnacentral:piRNA from 1 species
UUAGGAAUUAACAGUUUGUAU